UGGCGCACGGCGCACGGGUGCGUAACACGUGGGCAAUCUGCCCUCGGAUGGGGGAUAACUCGCCGAAAGGCGAGCUAAUACCGCAUGACACUCCCGGGACUCCGGUCCUGGGAUUCAAAGGCCGCAAGGCCGUCUGAGGAGGAGCCCGCGCCCGAUUAGCUAGUUGGUGAGGUAACGGCUCACCAAGGCUUUGAUCGGUAGCCGGUCUGAGAGGAUGGCCGGCCACACUGGAACUGAGACACGGUCCAGACUCCUACGGGAGGCAGCAGUGGGGAAUAUUGCGCAAUGGGCGAAAGCCUGACGCAGCGACGCCGCGUGGGGGAUGAAGCUUUUCGGAGUGUAAACCCCUUUCGACCCGGACGAAUGACCCGCAAGGGUUUGACGGUACGGGUAUAAGAAGCCCCGGCUAACUACGUGCCAGCAGCCGCGGUAAUACGUAGGGGGCCAGCGUUGCUCGGAAUUACUGGGCGUAAAGGGUUCGUAGGUGGUGCGGCAAGUUGGAAGUGAAAUCUCUGGGCUUAACCCAGAGGCUGCUUUCAAAACUGCCGCGCUCGAGUGCGAGAGAGGUCAGUGGAAUUGCAGGUGUAGCGGUGAAAUGCGUAGAUAUCUGCAGGAACACCCGUGGCGAAGGCGGCUGACUGGAUCGCAACUGACACUGAGGAACGAAAGCUAGGGGAGCAAACAGGAUUAGAUACCCUGGUAGUCCUAGCCCUAAACCAUCGGAACUUGGGGUGGCCCGCGUAGGCGGGUCGUCCCGUAGCUAACGCGUUAAGUUCCGCGCCUGGGGAGUACGGUCGCAAGACUGAAACUCAAAGGAAUUGACGGGGGCCCGCACAAGCGGUGGAACAUGUGGUUCAAUUCGACGCAACGCGAAGAAC
rnacentral:rRNA from 1 species